UUCACUGAAUUAACUCUCAAACCCUUAGGCGCGCCUUUUUGGCUGAAAGUUUUCACUUCCUUCGCUUCUUCUUCUUUGUUUACUGCUAAGAUCUUACUUAGUGCUGCUCAUGUUGAUGUUGUUUUAUUUUGGAUCAUGAUCUGCAGCAGCAGUUACUCAUCUACUUGGAUAAUGGAUAUGGAAUAGGUGGAAGUGCUAUUCAUUUGGCUGCUGCUGGAGGGAUAGUUCGAUGUUCUUAAGUACUUGAUUGAGGAGAUGAAACUUAUGUGGAUGUGGAAAGUAAUUGAGGGCAUAACGAUAUCAUACCUUUGUUACUUCCAAAAGGUAUUAAUGUGGAUGUUUCGAAUGGUAAUGGCUCACCGCUACAAUAUGCUGCCGUUGCUAGCAAAUAUGAUAUUGUUAAAGUUCUUCUGGAUCAUGGUGCCAAUCCAAAUCUAGUCUUGUAUGAUACAUUUACUCCACUUCAUUCAUCUAUAUAUGUCCAAUCUUGGCAAUGCGCGGAAGCAUUACUGAAGGAAUGUGCUGAUCCAAAUGGUGGAUCAGAUGGAACAAGAGCUCUGCCACUAGCAGCUGUAAUGGGGGUAGUAAAAAUCAUCAGGCUGGUGCAGAUCCAUAUGUUACAAAUAUACACGGACUAAAGCCAAUUGAAGUCUCAGCUUAUAAAGAUAAUCACCGAGGUGUUGAAAUUCUUUUUCCUGUGACUUCUCCUUUUCCAUCAUAUGUUGAGUGGAGAGUAAAUGGAAUAAUUGAAGCAUGCAAAUUCUAAGGAGUUUGACAAUAAGGCGGCUUUUGUUGAGGCAAAAUCAAGGGGCACAAGUGCAUUCCAUAGAAAGGAGUAUUGGCUAGCAGUGUAUUGGUAGACAGAGGGAAUAUUCACAUUUAUAUUAGAAAUGUGCAUUUGCCAUAUCAUGAUCUAGAAACGAAAUAGGGUACAAGCCUUCAUUUUUCUUUUGGCAAAGAAAGCAUUAAGAGGUUUUGGGGAGAUUCUUGUUCAAGUGAAGAAAUUUGUUGAAAGAAAAGAUAUGGGUGAUGUGCAGUCAAUACUACCACGGGAGAUUAUUUAGUCCUGUUGCACGCCGUCAAUGGUCAGAUGGUAGGAAGAUCAGAAGCCGAAAAUGUGUACAUGGGCAAAUGAUUUUCAAAGGAUCACGAUAACAUGAAUUGUUGUCGCAUUUGCUUAAAUGGUUUCAUAGAGAAUCCCAUUGACAACUAUGAGUUUUGGAUAUAUUGAGAGCUUAAUGCAGUCCUCAGAAAAGAAUUCAAGAAGCAAAGGGCACUGGCUAAAAAAGGCUCUGUAGGAUGGAAAGGUGUGGCACUGAGAAAGAAGAAAUAGAUUUGUUAUCAAAGAAGCUCUUAAUAAAAGUAAUUUCGCAUUUGGAGUCGUUGAUCAUCAACUAAAGUUGUGUCUUCACGUUCCCCAACCAACCUUUCAGAAACGAAAGACGAAAGGAUUACUAAGCGAUUCAAUCAUUUUAUCAAACUUUCAUAUUUGCUUAGAACUUGAAGCAUAAAAUUGCCUUAACAGGUUUGAUAGAGUGGAAUCUUUAAAAAAUCAAUCGAAAAUGGAAAGUGCUGGUUGCCAUCUCCAGAUGUUUCUGAACCAGAGCAUUUAGGGAGGACACGGGAUCUAAAGCAUAGCGAUGCAAUCUCUUUUGAAGAGAGAAAAAAUAACCAUAUAUUGUUUUUCAGAUAUGAAAGUAGGCACGACAAAAACGUUGAUAUGGAAGCUGUUCAUAUGUUUAGAUAGAUCCGCAUAAGUUUAAUCUCUUGAUAUAAGUUGAUGAGCUAUCUAAUACAUGCAUAAACUCAUUAAUAUUGUAUGAAUUAUUAUAAUGCAAAAAUUCUGGUAGUCGUGAUUGCUAAUUUAUUGCUUGACUCGACAGGAUCAAAAGGAAGAGCUCAAGAUGCAGAGAAGAGUUGGAGGAAUGUGAGGCGCAAAAUGGAAGUGAUAAAGAGAAACUUAUCGAUGAGAAACAGAAGGUGCGGGCACUUCAGUUAGCGGGACAAUGCCGUUAAUGUAAGGAGAAUUCAACUCAAACUAUUGCUGCCAUGAUGGUCUCAGUGUGGUAUUUACCAUAGUACUUGGGCAUAAAGUUGCUUGGUUUCCCUUUAUCGCAGCUUUAUUUGUUCGUGAACUAUGAACCUUACUUGCAAUGUUGCAACUUGUGUUACUUAUCCGAAUCAAGAUUUGUACAAUGUGUUAAAUGUAAGAAUGAGCUGUCUGUUUAA